GACGAACGCUGGCGGCGUGCUUAACACAUGCAAGUCGAGCGGAAAGGCCCUUUCGGGGGUACUCGAGCGGCGAACGGGUGAGUAACACGUGAGUAAUCUGCCCUUGGCUUUGGGAUAACUACCGGAAACGGUGGCUAAUACCGGAUACGACCACUCCUUGCAUGAGGUGGUGGUGGAAAGUUUUUUCGGCCAGGGAUGUGCUCGCGGCCUAUCAGCUUGUUGGUGGGGUAAUGGCCUACCAAGGCUUCGACGGGUAGCCGGCCUGAGAGGGUGACCGGCCACACUGGGACUGAGACACGGCCCAGACUCCUACGGGAGGCAGCAGUGGGAAUAUUGGACAAUGGGCGGAAGCCUGAUCCAGCAACGCCGCGUGAGGGAUGACGGCC
rnacentral:rRNA from 1 species